rnacentral:rRNA from 1 species
GACGAACGCUGGCGGCGUGCUUAACACAUGCAAGUCGAACGGAAAGGCCCUGCUUUCGUGGGUUGCGCGAGUGGCGAACGGGUGAGUAACACGUGAGUAACCUGCCCUUGACUUUGUGAUAACUUCAGGAAACUGGGGCUAAUACCGGAUAGGAGCUCCUGCUGCAUGGGGGGGGUUGGAAAGUUUCGGCGGUUGGGGAUGGACUCGCGGGUUAUCAGCUUGUUGGUGGGGUAGUGGCUUACCAAGGCUUUGACGGGUAGCCGGCCUGAGAGGGUGACCGGCCACAUUGGGACUGAGAGACGGCCCAGACUGCUACGGGAGGCAGCAGUGGGGAAUAUUGCACAAUGGGCGGAAGCCUGAUGCAGCAACGCCGCGUGCGGGAUGACGGCCUUCGGGUUGUAAACCGCUUUCGCCUGUGACGAAGCGUGAGUGACGGUAAUGGGUAAAGAAGCACCGGCUAACUACGUG